ACACCUUUUGAGAGAGACACACAUGAUUCGGAAAUUAUUAGAAUACUCUAUGUGCUUCACUUAUAUCUUUUGAGUUAUAUAGUUUUUGCUCUAGUACUUCACUUAUAUCUUUUAGAGCACGGUGGUGGUUUUGUUUUAUAGAAACUAUUAUUCUCUCAUGCUUAACUUAGAUUAUUUUGAGAGUCUUAAAUAGCAUGGUAAUUUGCUUAAAUAAUCCUAAUAUGCUAGGUAUUCAAGACUAGUAAAAACUUUCUUAUGAGUGUGUUGAAUACUAAGAGAAGUUUGAUGCUGGAUGAUUGUUUUGAGAUAUGGAGAUAGUGAUAUUAAAGUUGUGCUAGUUGAGUAGUUGUGAAUUUGAGAAAUACUUGUGUUGAAGUUUGCAAGUCCCGUAGCAUGCACGUAUGGUAAACGUUAUGUAACAAAUUUGAAACAUGAGGUGUUCUUUGAUUGUCCUCCUUAUGAGUGGCGGUCGGGGACGAGCGAUGGUCUUUUCCUACCAAUCUAUCCCCCUAGGAGCAUGCGCGUAGUGCUUGGUUUUUGAUGACUUCUAGAUUUUUGCAAUAAGUAUGUGAGUUCUUUAUGACUAAUGUUGAGUCCAUGGAUUAUAUGCACUCUCACCUUUCCACCAUCGCAAGCCUCUUCGGUACCGUGCACUUCCCUUUCUCACAUUGAGAGUUGGUGCAAACUUCGCCGGUGCAUCCAAACCCCGUGAUAUGAUACGCUCUUUCACACAUAAACCUCCUUAUAUCUUCCUCAAAACAUCCACCAUACCUACCUAUUAUGGCAUUUCCAUAGCCAUUCCGAGAUAUAUUGCCAUGCAACUUUCCACCGCUCCGUUUAUCAUGACACUUUCGUCAUUGUCAUAUCGCUUUGCAUGAUCAUGUAGUUGACAUAGUACUUGUGGCAAAGCCACCAUUCAUAAUUCUUUCAUACAUGUCACUCGUGGUUCAUUGCAUAUCCCGAUACACCGCCGGAGGCAUUCAUAUAGAGUCAUACUUUGUUCUAGUAUCAAGUUGUAAUCUUUGAGUUGUAAAUAAAUAGAAGUGUGAUGAUCAUCAUUAAUAGAGCACUGUCCCAAUAAAAAAAGGCCAAAUAAAAAAAGGAAGGCCCAAAAAAAGGGACAAUACUACUAUCCUUUUUCCACACUUGUGCUUCAAAGUAGCACCACGAUCUUCAUGAUAGAGAGUCUCUUGUUUUGUCACUUUCAUAUACUAGUGGGAAAUUUUCAUUAUAGAACUUGGCUUGUAUAUUCCAACAAUGGGCCUCCUCAAGUGCCCUAGGUCUUCGUGAGCAAGCAAGUUGGAUGCACACCCACUUAGUUUCUUUUGUUGAGCUUUCAUAUAUUUAUAGCAGUAGUGCAUCCGUUGCAUGGCAAUCCCUACUCCUUGCAUUAACAUCAAUCGAUGGGCAUCUCCAUAGCUCAUUGAUUAGCCUCGUUGAUGUGAGACUUUCUCCUUUUUGUCUUCUCCACAUAACCCCCAUCAUUAUAUUCUAUUCCACCCAUAGUGUUAUAUCCAUGGCUCACGCUCAUGUAUUGCGUGAAAGUUGAAAAAGUUUGAGAUUACUAAAGUAUGAAACAAUUGCUUGGCUUGUCAUCGGGGUUGUGCAUGAUGAGAGCAUUCUUGUGUGACGAAAAUGGAGCAUGACUAAACUAUAUGAUUUUGUAGGGAUGAACUUUCUUUGGCCAUGUUAUUUUGAGAGGACAUAAUUGCUUAGUUAGUAUGCUUGAAGUAUUAUUAUUUUUAUGUCAAUAUUGAACUUUCAUCUUGAAUCUUUUCGGAUCUGAAUAUUCAUGCCACAAUUAAGAAGAAUUACAUUGAAAUUAUGCCAAGUAGCAUUCCACAUCAAAAAUUCUGUCUUUAUCAUUUACCUACUCGAGGACGAGCAGGAAUUAAGCUUGGGGAUGCUUGAUACGUCUCCAACGUAUCUAUAAUUUUUUAUUGCUCCAUGCUAUAUUAUAUUCUGUUUUGGACAUUUUUGGGCUUUAUUAUACACUUUUAUAUUAUUUUUGGGACUAACCUAUUAACCGGAGACCCAGCCCAGAAUUGUUGUCUUUUGCCUAUUUCAGAGUUUCGCAGAAAAAGAAUAUCAAACGGAGUCCAAACGGAACGAAACCUUCGGGAACGUGAUUUUCGGAACGAACAUGAUCCAGAGGACUUGGACCCUACGUCAAGACAUCAACCAGGAAGCCACGAGGUAGGGGGCGCGCCUACCCCCCCCCCCCGGCGCGCCCUCCACCCUCGUGGGCCCCACGUUGCUCCACCGACGUACUUCUCCCUCAUAUAUAUACCUACGUACCCCCAAACUACCAGAUACGGAGCCAAAAACCUAAUUCCACCGCCGCAACCUUUUGUACCCGUGAGAUCCCAUCUUGGGGCCUGUACCGGAGCUCCGUUGGAGGGGGCAUCAAUCACGGAGGGCUUCUACAUCAACACCAUAGCCUCUCCGAUGAAGUGUGAGUAGUUUACCUCAGACCUUCGGGUCCAUAGUUAUUAGCUAGAUGGCUUCUUCUCUCUUUUUGGAUCUCAAUACAAUGUUCUCCCCCUCUCUCGUGGAGAUCUAUUCGAUGUAAUCUUCUUUUGCGGUGUGUUUGUUGAGACCGAUGAAUUGUGGGUUUAUGAUCAAGUUUAUCUAUGAACAAUAUUUGAAUCUUAUCUGAAUUCUUUUAUGUAUGAUUGGUUAUCUUUGCAAGUCUCUUCGAAUUAUAAGUUUGGUUUGGCCUACUAGAUUGAUCUUUCUUGCAAAUGGAGAAGUGCUUAGCUUUGGGUUCAAACUUGCGGUGUCCUUUCCCAGUGACAGUAGGGGCAGCAAGGCACGUAUUGUAUUGUUGCCAUCGAGGAUAACAAGAUGGGGUUUAUAUCAUAUUGCAUGAGUUUAUCCCUCUACAUCAUGCCAUCUUGCUUAAAGCGUUACUCUGUUCUUAUGAACUUAAUACUCUAGAUGCAUGCUGGAUAGCGGUCGAUGUGUGGAGUAAUAGUAGUAGAUGCAGGCAGGAGUCGGUCUACUUGUCUCAGACGUGAUGCCUAUAUACAUGAUCAUACCUAGAUAUUCUCAUAACUAUGCUCAAUUCUGUCAAUUGCUCAACAGUAAUUUGUUCACCCACCGUAAAUACUUAUGCUCUUGAGAGAAGUCACUAGUGAAACCUAUGGCCCCCGGGUCUAUUUUCCAUCAUAUUAAUCUCCCAUCAACAAGUUAUUUCCGUUGCCUUUUUAUUUUGCUUCUAUUUUACUUUGCAUCUUUAUCAUAAAAUACCAAAAAUAUUAUCUUAUCAUAUCUAUCAGAUCUCACUCUCGUAAGUGACCGUGAAGGGAUUGACAACCCCUUAUCGCGUUGGUUGCGAGGAUUUAUUUGUUUGUGUAGGUGCGAGGGACCCGUGCGUGGCCUCCUACUGGAUUGAUACCUUGGUUCUCAAAAACUGAGGGGAAAUACUUACGCUACUUUGCUGCAUCACCCUUUCCUCUUCAAGGGAAAACCAACGCAGUGCUCAAGAGGUAGCAAGAAGGAUUCCUGGCGCUGUUGCCGGGGAGUCUAUGCAAAAGUCAACAUACCAAGUACCCAUCACAAACCCUUAUCUCCCGCAUUACAUUAUUUGCCAUUUGCCUCUCGUUUUCCUCUCCCCCACUUCACCCUUGCCGUUUUAUUCGCCCCCUCUCUUUUCCCUUUUUGUCUCCCUCUUCCUUUUUGCUCCGCGCACUUUCUGCCGUUAUGUCUGAAAUUGGGGAAACUAUUGUCGAUAUGGACAAUAAUAAUAUGGAAAAUUCUGAUGCUCCGGCUAAAGAACCCCUUAUCUUGCAUACAAAAAAAUUCCGAAUUGGUAGUGGUAAUAUUAUUGGAAAAGGGGUCAUUCAAGAUUUCUUUACUUGUGCCGGUGCUUUGCCCUCUAUGGGUAGUUCUAUUCUUCAUAGAACUAGUAGUCUUGCGGACGCUAUCGCCAUGCUUGUAGUUGAGCUUGAAAGACAAUUUAUGCACAUGCAUCCUUGCAUACAGAGGAUUUUACUAGAAUUUUCUAACAUUGAGCAUUCUUCUGUUAAGCGUGCCGCUACUAUAUUUUUGGCUCAUGAGUUCAGAUUUAUUAUAAAAGAGGCCAAAGAAAUCUUUGCGCAUUAUAGGGUGGACGCUGGACGUCCUCCCAUAGAAACUAUCUUAUUUGAUCAAGAGGAAAUAAUGCGUUUUCAAUCUCAAGAUUAUGUUGCUUUUAAUGAAAACCUUAGAAAAAAGGUUCCUACCAAUAUUCUAGUUGAUAGAAUUUCUAAACUUGAUUAUGAUUUUGCUAUUCGAAAUAAUGAGCUAGGAUAUUCUCUGGAAUAUAGGCUCACCAAAUUCUGUCAAAAGAACGCCUAUAAUGAUGAAUUGGUUGUGCAAUAUGAAGGGCCGAAGGAGGAACCUAUACCUCCUAAGGUUGAUCUUGGGGAUUUUUGUCCCAUUAAAUUUAGCCCUUUUGAUUACUUUUGCUUGCCACAAAGAAAGCUUGCUGCCGAACGUAGAGAGUAUGAAAUGAGUUUUAAUGAUCUAUCUUAUUAUUAUGGCAGUACCUAGAUCUAUCCUUGCUUUUAUGCCUAGCUAGGGGCGUUAAACGAUAGCGCUUGUUGGGAGGCAACCCAAUUUUAUUUUUAGUUUUUUGCUUUUUGCUUCUGUUUAGGAAUAAAUCUUUGAUCUAGCCUCUGGUUAGACUUGUUUUUAUGUUUUAAUUAGUGUUUGUGCCAAGUUAAACCUAUAGGAUCUUCUUGGAUGAUAGUUAUUUGAUCUUGCUGAAAAUUCCAGAAACUUUCUAUUCACGAAAAUAAUUGUUAAAAAUCACCAGAACGUGAUAAAAUAUUGAUUCCAAUUGAUGCUGAUCAAUAAACAAAUUGUCUAGGUCUUCCUAUUUUGGCUGAAUUUUUUGAGUUCCAGAAGUUUGUGUUAGUUACAGAUUACUACAGACUGUUCUGUUUUUGACAGAUUCUGUUUUUCGUGUGUUGUUUGCUCAUUUUGAUGAUUCUAUGGCUAGUAAAAGAGCUUAUAAACCAUAGAUAAGUUCGAAUACAGUAGGUUUAACACCAAUAUAAAUAAAGAAUGAGUUCAUUACAGUACCUUGAAGUGGUGUUUUGUUUUCUUUCGCUAACGGAGCUCACGAGAUUUUCUGUUAAGUUUUGUGUCGUGAAGUUUUCAAGUUUUGGGUGAAAGAUUUGAUGGAUUAUGGAACAAGGAGUGGCAAGAGCCUAAGCUUGGGGAUGCCCAUGGCACCCCCAAGAUAAUCUAAGGACACCUAAAAGCCAAAGCUUGGGGAUGCCCCGGAAGGCAUCCCCUCUUUCGUCUACUUCCAUCGGUAAUUUUACUUGGAGCUAUAUUUUUAUUCACCACAUGAUAUGUGUUUUGCUUGGAGCGUCUUGUAUGAUUUGAGUCUUUGCUUUUUAGUUUACCACAAUCAUCCUUGCUGUACACACCUUUUGAGAGAGACACACAUGAUUCGGAAAUUAUUAGAAUACUCUAUGUGCUUCACUUAUAUCUUUUGAGUUAUAUAGUUUUUUCUCUAGUACUUCACUUAUAUCUUUUAGAGCACGGUGGUGGUUUUGUUUUAUAGAAACUAUUAUUCUCUCAUGCUUAACUUAGAUUAUUUUGAGAGUCUUAAAUAGCAUGGUAAUUUGCUUAAAUAAUCCUAAUAUGCUAGGUAUUCAAGACUAGUAAAAACUUUCUUAUGAGUGUGUUGAAUACUAAGAGAAGUUUGAUGCUGGAUGAUUGUUUUGAGAUAUGGAGAUAGUGAUAUUAAAGUUGUGCUAGUUGAGUAGUUGUGAAUUUGAGAAAUACUUGUUUUGAAGUUUGCAAGUCCCGUAGCAUGCACGUAUGGUAAACGUUAUGUAACAAAUUUGAAAUAUGAGGUGUUCUUUGAUUGUCCUCCUUAUGAGUGGCGGUCGGGGACGAGCGAUGGUCUUUUCCUACCAAUCUAUCCCCCUAGGAG
rnacentral:lncRNA from 1 species